rnacentral:tRNA from 1 species
GUUAGAGCAGCGGACUCAUAAUCCGAAGGUCGGGGGAUCAUGACCCUCUGGGUCCACAA